rnacentral:rRNA from 1 species
AAAUUGAAGAGUUUGAUCAUGGCUCAGAUUGAACGCUGGCGGCAGGCCUAACACAUGCAAGUCGAACGGUAACAGGAAGCAGCUUGCUGCUUCGCUGACGAGUGGCGGACGGGUGAGUAAUGUCUGGGAAACUGCCUGAUGGAGGGGGAUAACUACUGGAAACGGUGGCUAAUACCGCAUAACGUCGCAAGACCAAAGAGGGGGACCUUCGGGCCUCUUGCCAUCAGAUGUGCCCAGAUGGGAUUAGCUAGUUGGUGAGGUAACGGCUCACCAAGGCGACGAUCCCUAGCUGGUCUGAGAGGAUGACCAGCCACACUGGAACUGAGACACGGUCCAGA